GACAGAGAGGGGCCAGUCUGAUCAGCCAUGCCGCGUGAGUGAUGAAGGCCCUAGGGUUGUAAAGCUCUUUCACCGGUGAAGAUAAUGACGGUAACCGGAGAAGAAGCCCCGGCUAACUUCGUGCCAGCAGCCGCGGUAAUAGACAGGGGGC
rnacentral:rRNA from 1 species